rnacentral:rRNA from 1 species
AUACGUAGGGGGCGAGCGUUGUCCGGAUUUAUUGGGUUUAAAGGGAGCGUAGGCGGGAGCUUAAGUCAGCGGUUAAAUGGUGCGGCUCAACCGUGCCCUGCCGUUGAAACUGGGUUUCUUGAGAGUGCAAGAGGCGGAUGGAAUUCAUGGUGUAGCGGUGAAAUGCUUAGAUAUCAUGAAGAACUCCGAUUGCGAAGGCAGUCCGCUGGGGCACGUCUGACGCUGAUGCUCGAAGGUGCGGGAAUCAAACAGGAUUAGAUACCCUGGUAGUCCGCACGGUAAACGAUGAUUACCCGCUGUCGGCGGCAGACAGUCGGCGGCCAAGCGAAAGCGAUAAGUAAUCCACCUGGGGAGUACGCCGGCAACGGUGAAACUCAAAUGAAUUGACGGGG